ensembl:lncRNA
CCCAGCGCUUCCUUGCUCCAGCUAUUGACUAUCUAAGCAUCUCUAAGUGUUAAGAUGAAUGAUAAUUGAGCAGUAAGCAUUAAUUCACACCCGUUUUUUUCCCCUUACUCACUCCCCCAUCCACAGGCACUGUAAAAACCCCUCCUUGUGCCUGCUGCUUUUUUUCCUCAUCCAGGCAGCCCUCCUGUAGUAAGGGAUGGGUACCCUCACUCUAGGAAUACCUGACUUUAAAUUUCCAGGAUGCUGAGCAGAAAAGUUCUAGCACCCGAAACACUUCUGCUUUUAGCAGAGUGGCUAUUUUGGCUUUGGGUCUGUGUGUGACUAAUAUGUUGUAGAUACCUGGCUGCAGUGAGGUCAGAGCAGGGGCAAGCUGUCUCUUCUGCAGUGAAUUAGAGGCUUACAUUCAUUAUCUUCCAAUACCUCAUUAAAAAAGCUUUAAUGUGGUGAACAUUUGAUGGUAGACAAAAGCUUUAAUCUUGCGAAUAUCAAACACACCUGUGUUACAUUUCCUCUUGCGAGCAGUUAGCAGAAACAGGUUAACAAGCUAUUUUAACUCCUUAAUCUGCUGAAUUUGUGUGGAAACCAGACUUUCACCAGUCACCUGAGUUUGAACUCAGAAAAAAAAAAAAAAGCAGCCCGCUAACACCCCUAAUUUAUCAAGCUCUUUUUUCAAACUCUGACUGCUCUAGACACUUUUAAUCAUCUGUUUAAUUUUGCACCUUUUUUUUUUAUCCUGAUAUAUUAUAUGCAGGUUAUACUUAAGGCCCAGAUUUGCCCUAUUUUUCUUCCUCAUCUGACCUAGAUUCAAAUUUACACACUGUGAAAUAGCUAAUAAAUCCCCAUUAAGGUUGUAAAAGGUGAAGGUUCAACCAAUGUGCAAGUCAUCAAGUUCUAAUGUAAAACUGAAUGAGCCUUGAUAUUAGCAGCAGCCUCAAAAAGUGAGGCUGAAAGGCUCUACAGGUUUCCAGCUUUUUUUAUGGGAGGCCAUGCUUAAAUCACCUAAUCCGAGACAGCUCUGCUAAGCCCGUACAACAACAGUGACAACAACAGGCCUCAAUAACAGCAAGGAAAAAAUAACGGCCUUCCUCCAAACAUGGGAUGCUGGUGAUUUUAAUUUGUACCACCAACACACUAAGCAUUCCAUAUAUUUUACUGCAAGUAAAUGCAGUUCAAUAAAUAUUUCCUAAUAAAUGCUACAACCUCUGAAUACAAACAUUCACGCAAAGCCCUCAUAAAACUUUUCUUUUGUGUAUCUCUCCACAUUUCUGAAACAGAGGUGUUUUUAGUUGGCUGUUGGAGGCUCAGAAAAGUACUUUGUCAGUCCAACUUGAGAGCGUUUUUUUUUUCUUUCUAGCCAUAGAAAGUAUUACAAUGAUUUACAGAGACAUGCUGAAAGUAAAUUAUGUUGUAAACGCCUGUCCCUUGGGUCGACAAAGAAUCACAGGGAAAAAAUGCAAAAAGUUUGAAAUUCCCAACAGCAAAGGUUGACAGGAAAAUAUGGUGUUGUUUUUCUAUGAGUAAAAGUAACUUUUAUGUUGUGUUUUCCCAUGAGAAAUUAUAAACUUUCAAAGGAAUUUUAGUCUCUUGUAUGCACACAUAAGAGCAAUUUAUCUGGUACUGCCCCAGUGAAAACACUGUUAAGACUUUAAAGCUGUUAGAACUAUGGCUGAACUUCAUCUAGACUGCUACUACUUAUUUGUUCUUGCUGCCUCUUCUUGUCAAAACAUUUACUCAGACUUCGAAGAGUUGCAAGUUGGCAACGUGUUAAUAAUAUUAGAAUGCAUUUGUGUCGGCCAUGUGGCUGCAAUAUUUGAGUAAAUUCAUCACUUAUUUAAUGAAUAAUGAAUUCACGAGAGUAGCUAUGGAGACGUAGAACCAUAUGUAGUAAAUUAAAUGGGAACUUGUCAACGUACAGUAACAGCGAAUGUCACCAAAGUAGUUUUGUCUGUUUUAUAGCAGCAGUGAUGCACUUACAUUGAGAUUGGUGUGUGUACUUUUCUUACUACGUAUAGUUCAGUCACAUUUUUUCACACUUAAGUUGUAACAGUGAUUUCCUGUAACAGGUGUGACAACAAAGCGAGAAUUUACACAAGUUACUCUUUGGUAGCAAAGGUGGAAGAACUUCAAGAUACUCAGCCUGCAAGUAAUUAACAUCUUAAAAGAUAGUUACAGAACUGCAGAGGAUUGUUUAUUUUUUUUUUGGAAAAGGUCACAAAAGAAAGAGGUGAAUGGACGUUACUCAGAUCAGUUCUCAGCUGCCCUAGAACAUGAUGGAAACUCCAGACAUCAACGAUUUCUUCUAAGACAAUCAGCAGGGAAAAAUCGGGCCUAGAGAACAGCAGCAGCUCCAAAAAGAGGGAAGUUAAUAAGAAAUUGUGAAAAUAGGGUGGUGAAUUAUUGCAGAAAGUUGGGCCCACAUUUCUGUUUGUAUUCAGAGCUGUGAGCAGCUUUUUGGCCAUCAUGUCAGGUCUCACUGGCACUGUGUGCCCCAUUCACAAUGUUCAGUGGUUAGCUGUACAUCUAAGAGUUGGAGGCUGAAGUCCAAGGGCCUUCGUAACCCCUUCUCACAUGGAUAAGAGCCCUAUUUCCCCAGUGAUCAGCUAUUCUGAUUCUCUUACUGAAGCUGUAUCAUAUACACUGGGUUUAAGGACUGUGUUAUUAUGUAGUUAGGAUGCAGAAGGAGGAAAAAUUCCAAUGACAGUUUUAAAGGAAUAUAACAAAAUCAGAUUCAAGAAAGUAGAAAACAGCCAUGUAGUACCUUCCCAGGAAUUUUAUUAGGAAUUGGGAGAUGACAACUCAGGUCAGUGAUUCCAGGUGGGCAGCUAAGGAAGCAUUUCAGGUUGGGUGAUCUUGAGCUUCCAACUCUGACAGUAUCCAAAGAUCUUAGAGAAUCUGUAUUCAUAGGCUCCAUCAACAAAAAGGUGAUAAAAACAUAAUGUGCAACUAGACUGUAUUCAUGAAGGCGUAGAUUUGGAGCUGUGUAAUACUAGCAAGCAUACCAUAUUUGUGUGCAUGGCUAAGUUAUACCAACCUGGAAAACAUCAAUGGUGCAACCUGAGUAGCUGUAGAAUUUGAGAUCUUGCAGAGUUGACCAGGCAACUUCACAUUUUGUGGUGAGGUUCUACUUUUGGUGUAGGAAGAGAGAACUUCCUGUUAAUCUAGCCAAAGGCUGUUUGCGUGUAUAAGUAGACAUAGCUUCAUUGCAGUCAGAAAUAAUAACUAGCGUCACGAUACUAUAUAAAACACAGACACUCUGCUCCUGAUGGUCCCAAGGCAGGACAGUACAUAGUGUUUAAGAAACAAGAGCAGAGCUCAUAUAGACUGGAAAUACCUUAAUUUUAAUUUUAUUAGAAUCAUAGAAUGGCCAGGGCUGAAAAGGACCACAAUGAUCAUCUAGUUUCAAAUCCCCUACUAUGUGCAGGGUUGCCAGCCACCACACCAGGCUGCCCAGAGCCACAUCCAGCCUGGCCUUGAAUGCCUCCAGGAAUGGGGCAUCCACAGCCUCCUUGAGCAACCUGUUCCAGUGCAUCACCAACCUCUGUGUGAAAAACUUCCUGCUAAUGUCCAACCUAAACCUCCCCUGUCUCAGUUUAAGACCAUUCCCUCUUUUCCUGUUACUAUCCAUCCAUGUAAACAACCAUAAGGAGCUGUUAGAGGACUAGAACCAGCAAAUAUCUAGCUUGUAAUGGGUUCUGCCUAGGACAUCCUCAAGGCUGCAGUAAUUUUAAAUGCUCUAAAACACUCAGAGGUGUUUCAAGCCAUAGAGAGUUCCAGUCUUGUCUCUUUUCAGGCAUAAGAACCUCCAGCAAGUAGUUCCUGAAGAGCUAGUUUGUGCCUCUGAGCCCAGUGAGACUGCUGUCAUGACUGUAGCAUCCACCCACUGCCCCUCUGUGCACGGUAACCCAGAGCUCAUCAUCCUAAAGACACAAGUCAAGCAAUGGAUCUACUUUACAAACUUAGCUCCUGGGAUCUUCCUCCUAAGAUUCAUUACAAUGUAAUUUCAGGAACCCACGUCACACCUACAAAACUUUCCUUUUAUUUUUUCAGCUGUUGAGUUGUGUUACAUCUCCUCAUGUCACGUCACAUUGAAUAGCAUUAUUGCCUUCAGAAAUGACGGGAUAGAGCGUGACUUAAUGUGUUUUGAAUGAUGUGACACUAUGUGGCAUAUGUCAUAAAAUCAUUGUCACCCAUCAAAAAAAGUGACAGAUCAAAUUCAAACAAAUCUUACUAUAUACUUUUAGUGGCUACCCAAUCAAGUAAAAACAAGUAUUUCAAAUUGUGAGCCAAAAGCGUGGGAGUGUGACUCAUUUUCGGUCAGUCCUUAUACUCUUAACUUGUUGUUUUACAUUUCUUCCACAUUUCUUCACAGUGUUAUAUCCAUUUGGUGGGGAAGAAACUUGUCUAGUUCAUUUAUAUUAUUCAAAUAUUGUUCAUAUUUGUCAGUCCAUUAUUUCUAAAAAGCUUUCAUAGUCGUUUCCAUGAAUCAUCUCCAUUUACCUUAUCUUUCCCGAUGCCUUUGAGUUAUUACUGUGUUAUGAAAGUAGCAAUGUUAUGGAAAAGGUUGAAUUUGUCAUCUCGCAAUGCAGCAAACGGAACUAUCAAGGAAAAGGAAAUAAUUUUCUGUAAUUCUACAUCUGAAGAAUACAGUAUCUAUUCAAAAAUACCAUACUAGUUUAUUUCCACACUACAUAUCUGCUCAUUGAAUAUUUCUCAUAAGAAAUGUAAGACAGGAGGGAGAAAAUUAAAAAUAGCUUUGCAAAUGAAUUGCUUCAUCUUCAGACUAAACCAACAUCAGUAUGGGAAUAAGCCCAAGCAGCUUUUCAAGAUUGGAGUUGGGACAACUGGCAAUAUCCAGCAAGUAGUACCAAAGUAUUACCAUUGGAGUAUUUGCAGAGUCAAAGACUGAAGCUUUCCAGAAGGGAAAGGCAGCAUCAUACAGUGAAGGGAUGUGAAAGAUAGCGUGGGUGCCAUCCACCAUUGUGAUCACAUAAGGGAACCCUGAAAUGUCAUAAAAUUCCACUUUGAUCUGUUGUCACUACUGUUGGUUGUAUGGAAAAUUAACACAUUUAAUUAACUGCCUGACCAAAGCAGCUGUUACCUUACAUAGAACCUUGAACACUGAUGCCCAGCAUAUCCCACUAGGUGUUUGAAUGUGCCAGUGGCAUAAGACUGAUUAUAUUUUUACUGAAUGACACAGCAUGAUUCUUCUUGCAACACGCUCAAGAUCUUCAAAUUCUUCACAGAGCCCAGUGAUGCUCCAGCCCAAAUUGCUUAAUAAUGCUGUUGUUCAGCCAACAGGAUACACUACACAUCAAAACAUGUCUGGGCCAAAACAGCUCCUUUAGCUGCUUUCGUUCUACAAGUGUUCCUGCUGCCUAGACCAUGGAUACAUUUGGCUUGUGAUUCCCAUCACUGGUAGUAGAAGUACUAUUUUAUUUAUAUUUAAUUUCUAUCAUUUAUGGCAGAUGGUUACUAGCCCUAAAUUUUUAAAAAUUAUCUUGGCUGCAGAAUUUCAAAUCAAAAGUGAACUAUCCAAGUCAGAGGCAACUUCAAGUUCAGUUAUUUUUACCAAAGUUAUUUUCAUAACAAUGAUCAUCCUGUGCAUGCGAGCAUACAAUUUUAUGCAUAGUUUUUUUGAUGCUUGGAAGUACUUUUCUACUAUACAUCUCUAUGUGUAUAGAUUUCUUUAUUUACACAUAUGUAUAUAUAAAGUAAGCCUUUUCUACAUAUAUGAAAUAUUUAUGAGUUAUUAUGUUAUUGCAUUAAUGAGAAGGAUAUCCUGGACAUAGAGGAACGUUUUGUAAAUGUCAUUGUCAAGUUAUAAAUCAAUGCUUUGAAAUACAGUAACCUCUGGACAUGGAGAAUUUUCUCUUUUAGUACUUCUACUACUGAUUAUCUCUCCAUUUUGUUUUUGUAGUAAAUGGACAGAUCAAUAUGAUGGGAAAAGGUGUUUCACUAGACGUAUAAUGAUGAAGGAUAAGCAUGAUAGACAGGUGCUAUAACAGAAGGGAAGAAGAUUGCUCACCUGUAUCAGAUGAUUCCAGGUUCACAAAGGAAAGCUCCAUCAAGGAGGGAUCUCCAGAAGGAGAUCCUUCUCCAGUGGCAGUCAGCCCUUAAAUGAGAUCUAAGAGAGGUGGAGCCAGGCUGCACCCCUUCCAGUCAUACAGGUGAAUUGUCUUCACCUGUGCUCCCAGGGCUGACCAGGUCCUUUCCCCAGGUGCUCAGUCAGUGGUUCAGGCUGUGACUCAACAGUUCCCAUAUGCCUUUCUAUGCUGUGAUAGCCACAGUGCACCAUAGCAAGCUAAGAGUGUACACUGCGCACAGAAGAGGACAGUUUCUCAGCCAGAAAGAAACUCGCACAGCCUCACCAAUUUCAGCAGAAAUAUUCAGGCUUAAUAUGUGGCCAUUAAAUAAUAUCUAACUUGCAUAUAGCGUUUUCUUCCACAGGUUUCAAAUCAUUGCAAGAGAAAUAGACCCCAGUCCUGCAAACACUUAUGUUUGCGUAACUGUGCAUAGGGGAAUAAUCCCAUUAAAUCAAUGGGAUUACUCGUGUGCAUAAAGUUAAGCAUGUGUGUAAGUGCUUGCUGGAGCUGGGCCUGAGAGAAAUGACAGGGUUUUUGAGCCACUCGUACAGCGGGUGUGAAUGUUCCUAUUCUGGUUGUGUAGCUUCAAACACUCCUCAAAGUCAAGUGGUAUUUAUAAGGAAAAAAAUUGCCCUUUUUUUUCCAUCAACUCAGGACAUUUUAAGAAUCUGUAAACAAUCUAUUGUCAUAACACAAGCACAGCUUAUAAAGAGGUCUCAAUAAAGCUGAAAAAAACAGUUUCAGGCUGAAUUCACUGACAGUUUGGGUGCCUACAAGGUCUUAUGACGUAUCCUUUCGUAUUUGCAAGUUUAUAUAAAGGGGCUUGAAUCUAAAGGUCGUAAACUAUGUGUAGAUGUGAAUCAUGCUUUAUUUCUUGAUAAUCUUCAUAGUCAAGUUGAAGUAGAAUUGAAAACUAAAAGAAGCAAACCAAUAGAAAUAGCAAUUAUGAAAUCAGGAAAGAAAAAGCAGUCCUGUUUGUACAUAAAGAGAAACCAAUUCAGCCUAAGUCAGGGGGCGCAAAAGUUCGCUGUGUAGGCAGGAGAUGACUGAGUCAGAAAUAUUUUGGGAAAAGAGCAAAGAUGGUAGAGAAUGCAAUGCUGUGCCUAAAAAAUCCUGUUAUCCAUCCAGAGAACAGCUAAGGACUUAGGAACAGAAAUUGAGUGAACUUAUCUACAGUUCCUCUUUCAAAGAGUCAUAGAAUGGCUUGGGUUGAAAGGGCCCUCAAAGAUCAUCUAGUUCUAAUCACCUGCUUCAAUUCUCAACCAGAAUUUAAACACUUCAGUUCUUAGGGUAGAUAAGGUCAAGGUAGAUAAACCCAAGCAAGGAUGUAUCUGCACAUCAUAUUCAUAGCUCCAUAACUAACAUAUUAGGUGAGUAUCCCCCAGAGAUCAAGAACUGGUGACUGAAACUGGAGAAAUUCAAUUUAUCCUUUCACUAUUUUGUUUAUUGAAUAAACCAAUGAUUUAUACUAUGUUGACUCAGACCCUUGUGCUGCAGAGCAGACCCUUGAAAACAGCCAGACUUUGAAAUACACACACAAAUAUUAAUAUACAAAUUAUUAGUAUAAAAUAGCAAAUAUGAGUAAGUGACAGUAUAAAGCAGACCAGAACUAGCCUGGCCCCUAUAUAUUACAGAAAUAAAAGUAGAAAAUUGUGUGUGGUCUUCCUCUGAUGCCAUACUCAGGAUUUUUAUUGCAAACACCUUUCUUCAAACACCCAUUUAACAUGCAUCCAUCUGUCAGGCGACGUUUUCCACAGCAGUGUUAAUGUGCAUGUGCCCCCUUCCACUUUGGUAGUUCACACCUUUAACUAGGGCUGGAGCCAGAGUGAAAUAAACAGGCUUCCACAGUUUGAGUAUGAAAGGCUCAAAAACGUGAGAGACGCUCCAUCAAAAAGAAGGGAUAAAACAAAAAACAAAGGACUGAGGAAGGGCAGAACACAGGUUUGAAAGGCAAUGGGCUUUAAAACCAUUCUUGCAGAUAUCUCUUCUGGAAAGUAAGAAUGAUGAGUGAUGAGUAAUAGCUUGGAGACAGAAUAGAAAGUAGUACCUGAUGAACACAUUCAUUGACUGAAAGAAGAACCCUUUGCUCAGCUCACAAGCAGAUGCUGUACCUCAGCUUGUUUAAAAGACUUCUGGUUUUAGAAUGCUUGUCCAGAAAGGCUUAAGAAGAAUUCUGCUUAAAAAGACUCCAGGAAGUUUUAGGAAGAGCUCCUCAAAGACUGCAUCAUUCUAAGCUUUAAGUUUCCCUAUGGCAUUUUACCUUUCUUCAGAAGAAAAGAAAUAAAUCAGGGAGAUAUGAAACUUGAAAAAAUACGCCAUGAAAGUUACCACCUUAAUGAAAUAUUAAAAAUGCAUCAGGAAUACAGUUCUGGCAUUAAAAAUAAACAAUAACAUUUCCUCCUAGUUACGGUUCACUUCAAUUCUUUAAAAAUUAAUUAUUACCUCUUUAAAUAUUUGAUUAAAUUAGAUUUGGGUGGGUUAUCGCUAUCCACAAAAUACACGUUGUUGUGUAUAAAUUUGCUUUCUUCAGUUUCUGACAUGUACGGGCGUGUUGUAUGGCUGUACGAUUAUUAGAAAACUAAAUUCAAUGGCUCUGUUCUGGCAGUUUGCAAAACAUAUACUACAAACUAUGUACUGAAUCCUGUCACUUUGGAUGAAAAUGCAGUAUUAUGUUAGAAAUCUCUAAUAAAAGAGGAAAAGUAAAGCAGCAGAAUUACAUUAUACUUGGGACUUUCACAUCGUAUCUUAUCAUGUUGGUAUAUCUCACGUGGUAGAAAGGCCACAUUAUUUUUAAAAAUGGUUAAUUAGGAUUUGGGGAUAAUAGCCUAGAAAUCAUAAGAAAUUGCUAGACACAUAAAGCCUAUUCUGCUCUCAAUGCAUGAGGAUUUAUAACUAUGUAGAUAGCAAGGAGAGAAUAAACCCUGUAGCAUGUCCUAGGAGAGGUAAGACAAUUAUUUCUCAAGUAUUUUGAUAAAAGCAAAUUAGUAUGUCCGACUGGAUAAAUAAGAAAUGCUGUUGGGUGGCUGCAGAGGCUGAUAUAGAGUUAUAAAAUAUUAAUUUAAGUGAAACACAUAUAUUAUAAAGGUAGUCUGUGAUGAUAAUAAUAACAAUAAAUCUUUUCUCUCCUUUUGCCCAUAUUUUACACAUAGAUUUAGGGCUGCUGGGGUGCUGGCUUGGCAGUCUAGUUCCCCUUUAUGAUCAAACAACCAAACAAUAGCAAAAGGUUUUUCAAUCUUUUUCCUUUUUCCCUGUUGGAGGAGAGGAUUUGAGAAUUAAGAGAAAGACUGUCAGUCCUUGGCCUCCAUAGCAGUAUUGCUAACAAGAAAACACAGAGGGAAAGGGUUUUUCUUGGCACUGGGGAUGAGGACGCGUACCAGCAGUGUUGCGACUCAGUUCAAUCUGCCUGGACCAGAGCGGAGUCAGCAGGGAUUCUGGUUGUAAGAGACCCAAACUAAGUUUAACCACGUGAUUUAGGGGGGAAAAAAAGGGAUUCAAUGCAACAUGUGCUAAAACCUCAGUAACCCAAAUUUUACUUAAUAAACUUCCCUUUAUAAAGAAGAUAUGGUGGUUGGCAACUGCCCAUAGCAGGGGGGUUGGAACUGGCUGAGCAUUGUGGUCCUUUUCAACCCAGGCCAUUCUAUGAUUCAUAACUGAAACAGCUAAAAAGGUGCAUGCUUUUAGAAAGAUCAGCUGAAGUGAAACUACCUGGAACCAAAAGUUCUUUCUGUUUUGUGCUUCUUCAAUAGAGAAAUGACUGAGUUAUAAAACCAAACAGAAAACAAGAAUGUUUGUGUUUGGGGAAUGUAAAUUCUUUUUUCAACUACAUUGAGAAUAUCCAACUUAAUCCUUGGGAAGUCAGCAUUUAAAAAAAAAAAAAAAAAAAAAGACUCUUCUUUUAAAUUAAUGUCACAAUAUCACAAUGCCAACAUCUGGCUCCUGACAGUAUACAUGUCACAUGGCUGCUUUGAAAUGGUAAUUGACUUUGUAAUAAAAAUAAAGAGUAGGUGUCUUCAGGCAAGCGUUCUUCCACAUCCUUCCCAUUGGUUAUGCGUAGCUCAGACUUCAGUGUUUAAAUGCUGUUGAACUGGUACAGUGGAUAGGAUUUCGUGUCACAGUACGCAUCCUCUCAUCAUUAAAAUGCACAAGUAAACAUCACCACUUUUCCUUUGAAGAAGAGUACCCAUCAGGAUACGUACUUUAUGCCAUAUACAUCUGAUAGCAACUCAGCUUCCUGCACUGAUUCAAACAGCUUUACCUAGUACUUAUUUUUUCAAACUGAGAUGCCUAACUUUGCAGAAAGACUAAGCUGUUGGCAUGAAAUGCACCCAUCUACCCAAGCAGCACAGUCUUCUCAGCCUAAAAUAGAACUAGAGUGGACUGAAGAGGCUGCAAAAGGCAUUCAUCUGCCCUUUUCUGUGAAGUAGAGACACCCAAAUAAUAACAGCAAAAUCCGGAGGAAUAUCAACUAUCUUGUGGAGAAUGAGAAAGAAAGUGCCUGGAAAACCAGCCUGCAGAUUGAACUCUCUUCCUGCUUCAGAGCCAUUCUUGGGUGCUUCAGCUCAACAGCUAUACACAGCUCUGAAGCACUCAGAGUGGUAGGGAAGGAAGCUGGGCACAGGCAAUAGCAUAGGAAAAACAUUUUCAUCAUUAUAUAUGUAAUAAUCCAAGCUUCAUUUGCAUACUUUGAUUUUGCUGUUCGGUAAGGUUUGGUCCCCGUGGCAUUCAGUAAGGUCACUUGAGGGGCAUUGGGAAGUAGCACGGAGAGGCAGUGGGGAGAGCUGGCCCAUGGCCAAGGAACCUGCCCAAAAUUGGAAAUAAGCUGUUCUUGUUUUUUGGGGGGGAAAAAGGGAAAAAAACAAACAAACAAAAAAAAGACCGCUUUGGAUGGGAAGGCUGUUUCCACAGCCAAGAGGAAUUAUUUGAGUUGGCUAAUGUAACACGGCCAGUUGAGCCUUUGCCUUUCGUAUCAUUACUUGCCUGCCUCCCUCCUCCUCGGGGCAGUCUGAAGGAAGGGAAGGAACAGACAGAUGUUCCUGGCCUGUGCUUCUGGGAUGUUAGAGCACAUCCAAGAGAUUUGUCACUCUCCAGAGGCACCCAGGUGGGAACUGGAACUCGCUGCUGGGUCGUGAGGGUCUCACUGUCAUCCUGGGAAGUUGUUAAUGAAAUCCCAGGACUUUUCCAAUUGCAAAAUAAAUAGGAAAAAUAAUAAAACAAAAAAGGAUAAAACAACAACAACAGGAAAAAAAAAAACACAAAUUUAUGUGAAGGGAGGGAAGAUGCAUUCAUCUUCUCUACCACUUCUGUUGCUUUUUGUUGCCCUUAGAAAAGCAGGCUGGUCCAAACAAGAAGGAGGUGGCUUCUGGCCAUUCCUCUUCUGCCAUUCUUACAGUAAAAGAAAAAAAGAGAAAGAGAAAAUUGAAUUUUUAGUCAACAGUUUUCACAAAAGACCAGGAUCCUGUCCUGCAAACCCCAGAUGGAAUGGCCAGGCAGGUCCCUAUGGGAUCCCAGUGUUUCAGUGGCCCAGGUCAUUGGAGUUUUGGGUUAAGGGAGUAGUAGGUGGCAAGUUGGCAUCAGUUUGUGUUGCCCUGGUGGGUCUCACUGUCUUCUGCAGCCCAAGAAUACUUAUAUCCACAUAGUAAUGAUGAAGAUUCAUUUGUAAGGAUGAAAACCCCAUAAAUUCUGGUGUGAUUUAUUCACUCAAACCACACAGAGCAUGCAAGAUAAAGUCAGAUCAUACAAUCUAAUGAAAAGUAGGUUCUGGCAUUAUUCCACCUAUCACAGAACUGUCCUCAGACUGGAAAUAAAAGCUCACAGCAUUCUGCUCCUCAAGAGUAGGCACCAUUACUUUAGGAAAAGGAAAUUAGUUAUGGUGAUAUCAAAGCUAUAGGUCAUUCUCAGAGAGACAUCUUUCCAGUUUUUAGGGGAUGAUGCAAAGUUGAAUGUCAUGAGUGCGUGGGAACCAUCAGCAAAUAUAACUAGCUACAAAACAUCAACAUGGCUGACAUUAAUGGCUCAGAAUAGAGUCGAUUCUGCAUUUUUUUUCCUCCACCUUUCCUCUCUUCCUGUUGUCAUGUGAGGCACACUCCCAGCCUGAACACAUCACAUAAUUCCUCUUUGGUUCUCUCGUUGCAGCUCAUAUGUCCUUCAUUCUCACACCAUAUUUAAAAUCACUACAUAAUUCAAUUUUUGUAGGAACACAUUUACUCCCCUGUAUUCAUCCCAGAGAAGGAGGAAUUUUUUGAUGAUUUUUUUUUCUUGCAGUGCUCAUUCUCAUGCCCUUUCCCCUCUGCAGUGACAGUCAGUCUUCCUCUGAUCUACUCAAAAACAAAGAAUAAAUGAUAACAUACUGCUGUCGGUGCUAUAUUUCCUCGUAAUUGAUAUACUUACUUCCUUUAUAGAGGUGUUUUACCUUUGGACCUCUUUUUCAAAUAAAGUGGCGCGCUAUCAGCAAGAUAUAUUCAAGAGCAAAAACAUAGAUGAGCUGCAAGACAAGAAGAGUGCUUUCUGACCAAGCAAUUCAAUCAUUUAUAUGCCCUUUCCUUCCAAUAAUGUGCUCCCAGGGAAAGUAUCCACCAUACCUGCAGUGCUCUGGCCAAAUUCCAGUUCGGGUAAUUACGUUCUGCCUGUCUAAACUCUGCCUGGAGUUUCAUUUGGAGGAAGCAUUGUUUGCUCCCAGCCCAUUGUUGUGGGCACACGGAUCAGGUGCUGGGCUCGUCUCUGCAGGAGCUGGCUGGACUCCAGCCCUGGAUGAAGUGAGAUGCAAGAGCAGAGCAGCUUGUGCUAAAUUUGCAAAGCGUCAGGAGAUCUUUGGAGUGAGAGGUGCUGUGUAAAUGGGAGGUCACCGGUGCUAUCUGGGGUGCAAAUGCAUCCCUGCUCAGAAGCUUCAUGGGGAAAAAAAACAACAACAACAACGACAACAAAACCAAUCAGGAAAAGGUCUCUUGAAAACGUUUCACAUGUAUCCUGACACGUGUUUGAAAUUCAUUUUGCUACAGCGUGUGUCUUCCCCAAAGGGUAGAUUCAUAGCUUAAAAGAUGUUCAGGAAAGUGUCCUCAAAAGAGGGACAGCAUCACAGGCUGGAGCAUGGACAGGCUGCAGCUGGCCCAGGACAGGAGGCUGGGUACUGCAGAGCCUGCUCUUCUGCCACACUAAUCUGUCCUUGGGGUCCUGCAGCACAGGGCAGAUGUGGCUUGCAGGUAUGGGGACAAGGGGACACAUGGAAGACAAGUGCUCACCACCGGCAGCCCUCAUCAUGCAGUGAUGGAUGUUCCCAGCUUUUCAGUUCUCCUCUGGAGAACACCCCCUUCUCUGUCCUCACUUAUGCUCUGUCCUGCCAUUACACAUUCAAAACUGGCCUAAUCCCUUGUAGCCGAGCUGCAACAUCCCGAGGGUGCCAGGUGAUGCCCUUAGCAGAGGCCUGAGCCCAUCCAUAGUGCUUCCAAGCUCUAGAAGAGCAGCUAGCUCUUGGUGGCUAAGCCAUGGUUGGGGCAGUUUUUAGACAUGAUAGGUGCCCAUCAAAACAAGCAGUAUGGUGACACAUGAAAACAGCAAGCUAACUUCUAGCUACAAGAAUGCUGAUAUUAUAUGCUGCCAGGAUGUUUUGGGAACAGCUGCAAACCAACAUCCAAAAUAAUCUUUCCCACUGCAUCCCAUUUGUUGCAAUGUUAAAAUUGCUGACCCCUCUUUUUAUUAGCUAGUACCCAGUCUUCCCACAAGUUCACCUGUACAUUCUUCCAUCCUUUCUUCAUGUUUGCAUUGCAAUAUUGCAUUACUUAUAUCACGUUACACAUUUGCUUUGGUCCCCAUCCUGCUGCUUUUGGCACUUCUGCACACUGCCAUUACUCACCUACCUCCUCCUAACACCGUAAUCGAGCUCCUGUGACCAACUUCUUCUCACUUCAUCAUUCUUCCCUUUUCCUUUCGCUGCUACUCAACGUUCAUCUGGAAACCUGAUUGGGUGAUGGGGGCUCGUGAUCAGUCACUGAAGCAACCUUAAAGGGACAGAAUUUCUAAUGGAAAUUGAAUCCAAAAGGUUGGAUUCCGUUGGGAAAUUUCAAAUUGACAAAUUUUCUGAAUGGAUCUCUUCUAACCUUGCUGUGUAUAAUAUAUGCAUUUAUUGAGCUUAAUUUUUGGUUAGUAUCAAAAUGUAUUGAUCUGCAAGAUAAAUAUUGACUUGACCUCGCUUUCUCUCAGUCUAUAUUUACUUCUUGAGUCAAUAAGUCUAGAAACUGAUCUGACAGGAGUCAAUAAUGGUUUAAAAUUCUCAAAAUAGCAGCUUUGCUCUAAGGUUGCAGUUCUUUAUUUUAAAGUUACUGCCUUAAACACGUAACCACUCAGGAGAAGUUAACACUUUACUGCACAAAGCCACUGGGGAAACACGCAGAUGCCAGGAGACCUUGAAGCGACUUCAGGCCAACUGUGCCAUUUCAGCACUGGCCAAGCUGUAUUUUAAAUAUUUUCAUAGUGACUUACUGCAGUCCAUCUUUUGCCCCGUGGAUCCUAAAAAUGUGAGCUUAUUUCUGGAGGUUACGCCUGCAUAUCACUGAUUGGAUUUGUCAGGGCUAAACUGUCUUCAGCCUUGGGAAAAUGCAAAGCUUGCUAAUGGGUAAAGGUUGUCAUCAUGAACAUUCCCUCUCUGCCUUAAUUUCUCUGCUCUGUGAGCUGGUAAUUAGCCUAGAAAGACUUUUGGAGUCAAAUGGGAUCGUAUUCUUUCAGUUUCUUCUAGUGUGGUAGACAUGUAUCCAGCCCAUGUCUUCAUCUAGCAGUGCUCUUCAUGAUUCUGAAGUUCAGUUUCCGGUUCCUGGAGUUCCUGUCAGAGUAACUUCAUUAGUAGACAGUUUGAUCACUCCUCUUAGUUGAGCCCAGUGCUACUUUAAUACCUGAGAAAAUACUGUAAUGUGAUGUAAAGAAAACUGUAAGCAUCAGGUAUUAUCCCAUCCCUUAGAUGUUUUCCACUUCGUUAAAGGUAAUCCCAGGAAUGAAAAUGAAGGCACCCCCCCCCCCCCCACCUCACCAUAAAAUAUAAGGAAGCAACAGGGAACAUCCACAGCAUUUUGACGCUAAAAGAGGAGAAGAGCUCAGAGAAGAAUGGAUCAGGUUAUGUGUAUUAUUGACGAAGAAGUCAAACUGUUGCUGCAAAAAAGGUAAUAACAGAAGGAGAUGUAAAAUAUAGGUAGAAACCCUUCUAAAUAUUUCAGCGAAUUCAAUAAGGCACAUAAAAUGAUCACUGUCAGCCCAUCUGGGAAAGCAGCGCAUAGACAAGUGCAGGAGUCAUUUCAGUCAGCGCAUGAAAUUUUCGAGGCACUCUCACAGAGAUAACUGCAUUAUGUAGUUUAUAAUACCUGAAUCACAGCAACCUUACGACUCUAAGCAUGAGAUUUUGAUGACGAAUCUUGCUGAGAACACUGCACAAAGAUCAGCAACCGCGUUUCCCAAUGCGUAUAGCCACUCAUUUUGUUGCAUUAUCUGCUCGACAGCAAAACAGAAGUGUGUCUUGUCUUUCCCAGAGGUUUUUUUCCCCCCUUUUCUUUUUGACUUCUUAAUUUUAUUGCGAGUGACUUCAAGGCCAAAAGGUUGUGGGUAGGGUGUUACAACAGAAAAGGAGGUUGUAACACUCAGACUUUUAGGUUAAAAUGUUCUCUGCUUAUCACGUGUUAAGAUCUUUCAGAAAUGAUGUAAUGCACCAGGGACUGUGGUGCUACAUUUGCAAACCACCUUUUUUUUAAUCAUUAAUUGACAUCAUAUAAUAAUGUCCAGCUCACUACUCCCAAAGUGAUGGUAAUUAAUCUUGUGGAAAAAAAAAAAAAAAAAAAAAAAGAAAGACAUUUCUAGCUUUUAGCAUGGAAAGGUCAUAAACAGGUUGUCUUAGGUUUGACUGGAUUUUAACCAUCUGAUCAAACUCUUCUUUUUUUUAGAUUUUUUUUCUUUUUUUUACAUUACCUUGUUUUUUUUAACACAUUUUUCAGGAUUGUAUAUAACAGAGAUAUCCUCAGCAACUUGGCAGUGUUUGAAAGCACAUGUUAUUACAAACAAGCGUGUCUUAGUUACAGAGGAAACCUUUUCUGUUCUUCCAUGCCCAGCACUUUUUUUAAUGGCUUUAGAGACGUUUUGCUACAUGAUAUACUGCAAAACAUCUUUUUUUUUAAUUCUCUCAUUUCAGGGUCAUAGUAUGGUCUCAAACAAGGGAAAUCACAAGGAAAAUUAUCAUUAAAUAUUUUCUCAGUGCCCCAGCUUGUCCUAUAGCAGCUAAGUGUUCUGCUUCCGUACUGAUCGUACUGCUUGGUUUUUUCAUCUGCUUGCAGCUCCAACUCCUUUCUUGGCUCUCUGAGCAAGAAUGAGAAGGAGAAGGACUGUGAAUUGUUCACAGAGUCUUCCCUGUGAAACCGUACAAUCGAGGAAGAUGUUAAGGGAUAGUUACGCUGUGCACUCCAAGGCAGUGUUGGUAGAAAAGGAUUAGAAUACUGACUAAAGAGAAUAGAUCAGGAUAUUAACUGCCUGAUAUCAAAUGAUCUCAGGAUAUUUUGGUGGUUGCUGCUGCAAAACUGAGCAGACCUUUUAAAUAUUCUGAGUUAUUUCCAUGAAAGCCAGAUGGAGCAAAAGAGGAUAUUUGGUUCGGUAUUUGAUUUAUGUUAGUGCAUUUUUGUUUGGAUGAGAACUGUGAGAACCCGGUGGUUUUGGUUCAUGGGAGAUCUGGCGCAUCACUGUUUUGGUUUUGAUUCAAGCGGGUUCACAUCCCCCGAGUUUCACUUUGACUUUUGAGUUUGAACAAAUCCAAAAAUUUCCAAACAAACCCCUGAUGGAACCGCUAGCUUUCACAUGGUUUCCACCCAAAAUUGUAAACUUUGCCCCCUCUGCAAAUGGAAGAUCAUAUUCAAAGAAAUAUGCUUUCCAAAUUGCAUUAACAGAAGUUAUUUUUAAGUCAAGAGAGGAAGAUGACCCAAAUUCUUCAGAUUUCUCCAGAACACAGGGCCCAAAAGUCCAACUGACCUUCUCAGAAAUCCAAAUUGCAAUGAAGGUAAUCAUGCAUGCAGAAAAUAUCAUCCCAAGGGUUUGAGUUUUCUUUCUUGAGAAAACACAGGUACAUCAUCCCUACCUCUACCAUUAAUUUGCAUUGGGCAUUUCAACUGUGCGUUAAGCACAGCAGCCUUUCAGGACACAGCUCUGGCCAGAAGAUGCCAUUCCCCUAAAAGAAGGUUUUCUCACAUUCUGUGGGGUCAUCUAAAAUGGAAGCUUCAGCAGAGACAUUUGGAUGCUUGACAGGACCUUCUUGUAAACGAUGUGUCCUUGGCCAGUACGAGAAAACCUCCCAAGUGAAUAUAUCACAGAAAAUCAGGCAUACAGUUCUGGCCCUUGUUAAGAAAAAUAGAUAAUGAAAAGCAGAGAAAUCUCUGAACAUUCAGAAAUAACUUUCAUAAAUAUCCUCAAAGGAGAUGAUUAUAUAUUCCAAAUCAAAUACCUCAGAGACAUAGAGACAUACGUAUUCCAGUAGGCUCCCUUUUAAAAGUAUUAUUCGCCAUUUUCAAUUUAUGCUUCCACUAAAUCUUAUUUAUCAUCAUGCUUUUCUCAGCUGAUUAAACCCAGAUAACAGUAACUUUUUUUUUCCCAAUACUGGAUUUACAGACGUCUUCAAAAAUAUUUAAUACUUUUCUACUGAAAGUUUAUUAUGGACAUCAAUUAACUUACAGUUCUUUGGUGUAAAGUAAUAGCAUUGCAUUUACUUUUCACUCUCACUCUGAGUCUCCCAUUUUCUUUUUCUCUCCUGCUUUUGGCAGAUUUGACUUGGUGUCUUUAGGAUGUUUGGUACUUCCCAGAAAGAAAUUACAGAAUCCAGCAGCUUUAACCAGGUUAAUGCUGCACGUCUAGCACUGGACACAGAGCUGACAUUUCACAGGAGGCUGGAAUGUUCUCCAUUAUCUCUGUGGAAGCACUUUGUAAACUUGGAUGGGAUCCAGUUAAGGAGCCAAAAACAAUACUGUGGAAAUUACCUGGCCAGUCAAGUCUAUUAAAAGUGAGUCACAGAUAACAUAAGCUAAAGCCAGUAAUUCCUUCAAGCAAUCCAUGAACAUACUGUAAGUUGAAAAUGAAAUAAUUUAGAGUAAUGAGGACAUAUUAACAUUUCAGCGUGAAUAAAUAACAAAAAUCAUAUCUAUGUUUGUCUGAAAAAUGAUCAGCUUUCAAUAUUGGAGCCAGUCUGAUUCCCCAUGUGUCUGGGACCCUGGACAUGGCAAACAGCAUGCAACUUUACACCGCAUCCUGAAACACCCUCGGGGGCAAACUACGGGACCCUGAGAAGCUCCCAGCAUCACGCAGUGCUACUGGAUCAGAUCUCGGUAUGUGUUCCCAUGACACUCAAAAGUAGGCAAAAGAGGCCCAUUUUCCCAAGUUUGUAAACAGAAUGCAACUUACUUCAAGCAAAAACGGUGAGAAAAUUUCAGAGAAUUUUUUCAAGCAUCACGCCUUGUCACUCGUGGGAUCUGGGAAAGUAACUGUGUUGCAAUAAAAUGGACCGUAGGCUCUUUAUGAAACAGGAUGGAAUGUUUAUACUUGACUAUUAUGGUGAUGGCUGUUAUUGAAAACAAAGAAUGAAAGAAAGCAAAGAUAGAUAAACAUAUUAAUUAUGUGUCAAACCACAGGAUACCUCUUAGGACACUGUGAUGGGAAGACUCAAAUACUGCAGCUAACUUUGCUUAUUUUCAGUGUAUUUCAUUUUGGGCUUUAUAUUAAUCUUUAGGGAGAAAUGAAUUUCAGAAUUAGUAUUUGAUGUGGUGACCUUCUGAAUUUCUUCCUUAUGUUUAAAGUGAGGGUGAGAUCCAUCCAGCAGAGAAUCGAGGUGGUGACAACACAUGUGAUCCUCACUUACAUGAACCCCCAUGCUUAGGUGGGCACUGGGAACGAGUGUUCCUAUGUCUAACCUGCACUGGAAGUUACUGAGCUAUGGAGGGACAAGUAUUUCCCUGCCUUUAUACCCUACUGAGAGAAUUUUAAAUUCACUCAGCUCAUUCCCUGUAAUUUCUCUCACUGGCCCAAUAAAAAAGGCAUCAUUUUCUGUUUUUCAAAAUCAAAAUUCAGAGGCAGAAAUGCAGCCACAUUAGAAAGGCAGAAAUACCUUUUAGAGUCUGUGCUCCAGCGUAUAGAAGACCUCCAAUUAAAGCCACUCUCUGGUCAAGCUGGCGCUUCUGUUUUAAUUGCACCCUCCUGUCACCUUGUGUAUUAUUAUAAUUUUUUUCAGUGCAUGUGAACAUUUCAGAGCUCCCCAAAUGAAAUUGGGGCUGUCAAGUGAUGUGAUGCUGCGUCACCAUGUAGAUGAUGGCCAAGAGCCAGCUCUGCCAGCACUCUGCUUUGUACUGUCCGGGGGAGAGAGCUGAUUCUUCAGCAGCGUCUAAUCAGUUUAAAACAAAUCUGGAAGAUGUUACUAGAAGACGAGAUGAGAUCCAGACCACAGCAGCCUCUGCAUACAAAGAAGUGAAGGAUUUCUUCUGAGAACAAAAUUAAAGAGGUGGAAAGAACACUUGGCAGUUUCAACACAAUUAUGACUGAGAAUAAGAAGGAGUGUACUACUGGUUGAGGAAAUGGGACUACUGGUACCUUGAGAAAGUACACAGAGAUAUCAAGAUCUCAGAUCUCCUGGUCAGCACUGGAAAAUUUCCCUUAAAUUCAUCAGCUCCUGGUUAAUUCUUGAAAAGAAACCAAGGCCGAAGAAGUUAUAAGGUAAAGAUGACACAUUUAUCUAAUAAAUCAGGAGGUAUUAAAAAAAUGCACGCUUUGGAUUUGUGUAACGUCUUCCAUCUGAGUUCCUCAAAAGACUCCAGAAGCUGUGUGCUUUCUGCCCCAUCACAGAUAACACAAAGGUCUCCAUUCAUCUUACCAAUGCAUUAUCUAGAAACCUCACAGAAGGCCUGGAUCACACAAACAUACUCAUAAAUGAGAAACUCCAAAGGUUUUCUUCGGGCUGUUUUUCUGGAAAAGUUCAUUUCCUUUGGACACUUUGCAGUAAAGGUGUGAUACAAAGAAAUGAUGGCAGAAAACCAAAUAUUUUCCUGCCUGCAGGCACCUGACCUGGCUCAGAGAUCAGCAUCCAACAUAACACGACCAAGACCCACAUUUUAGUUCUUGCAGGAAUUGACUGAGAGAGCAAGUAUGAAACAUAAGUACGUAGAAGGGGAAUGGAAAUAGUUAGGAAAGUGGCAGAGGAGCUGCUGGCACCUCUCACUGUUAUGGGAAGAGGUGAGAGAAGGAGGCAUCUCUGGAGACACAUUUCCCGAACAUAAAGCAGAAAACAGAAAGUAACUGCUAGCUUCCAUUUGAAACGAUCACAGACACGUUCUAUAGAUCAACUAUUACCAGG